rnacentral:rRNA from 1 species
UAAAGACGGAGGAGAGGCGGAGGUAUCAUGAGCGGAGGAAUCUGCGGGGGAGACGAUGAUCCGGAGGAUCUCCCGCCGCUUGGAACGAUUAGGCAUUUGCAGUUGCAAUCAGCGUCUGACAAAACAUAAUAGUUACAACUUUCAACAACGGAUCUCUUGGUUCUGGCAUCGAUGAAGAACGCAGCGAAAUGCGAUAAGUAGUGUGAAUUGCAGAAUUCACUGAAUCAUCGAAUCUUUGAACGCACAUUGCGCCCCUUGGUAUUCCAUGGGGCAUGCCUGUUCGAGCGUCAUUUGUACCUUCAAGCUCUGCUUGGUGUUGGGUGUUUGUCUCGCCUCUGCGCGUAGACUCGCCUCAAAACAAUUGGCAGCCGGCGUAUUGAUUUCGGAGCGCAGUACAUCUCGCGCUUUGCAUUCAGAACGACGACGUCCAAAAGUACAUUUUUACACUCUUGACCUCGGAUCAGGUAGGGAUACCCGCUGAACUUAAGCAUAUCAAUAAGCGGAGGAAAAU